UCUUAUUCAUCACAUGGGGACAAACUGUGGCCCUGUAGUCACUGAAAUAUAUGCUCCAAAUGUUCAAACUUUGCAUAUUGAACUUGGCUCAAAAGACUAACUGACAUGUAGAAAGUUAACAUAUAGGGAUGUUCAGACCCAUUAUCUUACAGAAAAACAAUGACAGCAAGAGUACUAUGCAUUUUUCUGGUGGUUCCUAGGCCUUUUACAGAUCUGAAAUUAUGAAGCCUAACAAUAACCUGAGAGAUUGCAUUACAAUUUGUUUGUGGAUCUGAGCAGAAAAUCUGAGCUGUAAAAAUGAAGAAGUAUUUAUAGUGAAAGGCAGAAGUACCUAUAAAUUAGGUGUACAACUUGUAAGUAUAAGGCACCUGGUGCUAAGAAUGGGAUUCAAAACCAGGCUAGAUGCUCAGGCUCUCCUUAGCAAUUCAUGGCACCUUUGCUAUUCAAAGCACCAUCUGGUGAAUGGAAAGGGAUGUAAAGAUGCCCAAAGGAAGUUUGGGAAGCCACCUUGGAGGUGACUGUGCCUCUUAGUUCGAAGACCUGAGUGCUGUGGAAAGUCACCUAGGAAAACAGAGAAGUGGAUGUGUUCAAUGUGGUCUUUACCUUUUCUCUUCAGAUGGUGAAAAUUCAAACUUCUCUAAUUACCAUGGAAAGACCAAACCAUAGACAGGAGGAAAAUAUUUCCAUUGAAGCUGUGCCACUGGGCAGAAUGGAAGGAAAGAUUCACAUGAUUACUAAGAGUUAAGAAGAGCCUGACACUGUAGGUGGAACACUAGCUGUAUUGGAGGAUGCUGAAACACUGUCCUCCUAUCCAUCCUAUGUUAGACAGUUGCUAGAGAAAAAUAUAAGGACUGAAAUAGUUUACAGCACUGAAGCAGUGGGCCAGGAUUCCUUACUCCUAAGGAAAUUCCCUGGCCAAUACAACACAGAGUGAUCUGACAACAGUCGGUUGGGAAGGGUUUUCUGCAUGUGUUUGUGUCCUGCUUUGUAUAUGUCCUCAUAUUUUUUGAAUCUGGCCCUAAGCAAUUGUUGAUUCCACAUAGCAAUUUAACAGCAAAACUAAUACAUGCUUCCAUUCCAUGACCAGAAACUGUAACUCCUGCAGAGCACUUUUGAAAGGAAUUUUAAAAGCCUGAGGCAGACUCAGCAAUUUGUGUGAUGUACAAAUGUGCAAAUACCAGAGAAUCUGGUUACCUCUCCUGGCAGAGAAUGGGUUUUUGACAGCAGAAAAAGAGUCAUUUUUUUUCCUUUGUUGGCCACAAUGGGUUGCACACCCUAAUGUAAGGUGGGGAAACCUUGUAAGUACCUGGGAAAGAGUUCUUCCUCUAUUUGUAUUCUAGAUGUAGGUUUGGCUUAGCUCUGCUGGGGAUUAUUUGCCACACACUGCUUGCAUCUUAUUAUACUAAUGAAUCAUAUACAGGCAUCAUGGGAGAAAUUUGGAUCCUAGUGGAGAUGUUGGCAAACAUCCCACUGACUAAACAGCAGACUUAGAUGAACCCAGUGAAGACUAAGGACACUAAUGGAUUCCUGUAGGGUGUUUCUCAGCAAAAAUGGCCUGCCCUGCUGCUGCUAAGCUUCUGAAACAAGCCAACCAUUAGCUGUCCCACCAACUCUUCAGGUUGUCCUUCAGGUAAUGCAUUUAACUUGAAAUAGAAAUGAACUGUUACUUUUAUUUUUCAGACAAAGCUAAAAUGAUACUUCUAGAAAGGUGAGACUAAAUGUUCUUUUUUAAAGCAAAGAGCAAAACCAACGAGUCAGUUUUCUGAAUGCAAUCUGUGUGAUUAAUGUGUCUCGAAAUACAGACAUUUCUAUAAAAUAUUAAUCACUUCACUUCUGGACUGUAUUAAAUUACAUUUAGCAGUUUUGAAAUUCCUUCCAUAUACUUUUAUAAGCAAAUAAUAUUUAUUAAGAUUCUUGAUCCUGUAAACCACUUCUUGCAUGAUUUUACUCUUUUUGUUAAAAAAUCUGAUUUGUUUGCCAGGCAAAAUAGAAGUUCAAGGAGCUUCCUAGGAGAAGAGAUGACUUUUGUGAGCAGGAAUUCAAGGAAUGUACUUUUUUCCUUAUAGCUACAGUGCACAAAAUUUCAGACACGUGAAUGUUGAAGAGUAACUGAUUUUUUAAAAAACAUUUUGCUUUUUUAACAGGAUAUCGUCAUCAUAGCUUCUCUAAUUAAAAUUAUUUACAUAGAGAUAGAGAAGAGUGCCACACCUCUUUCAUGAGCACAACAGAUUCACUGUCAGACAAGGAAGGAGUUGGCAGGCUCAUGAAUACACUAAAGGAGGAGAGCAGCUGUUUAGCAACAAAACCUUCCUAGCAGAGCCUUUCAGCCAGUUGCUGGACCAUUUGAUGUGGUGCUUGUGAGAGCGUGCGCACGUGUACGUAACUGGAAAGGCAGGAAUGCAGGAAAAAAGCUUACAGUGGAUGCACUGAUUGUCAUGUUAACUAGGUAAAUAUGUAACUUUUAUAAGUGGGAGGUAUUUUAAGGUUUUACAUAUGAAAGAACCACUUUCAUGCUUUUCAGACACCAAAUGAGAAAAAUGUCUAUGUUGUUGUUUAUUGGGACAGUUCCCAUAAAUGUAUAUGCACUCAAGUUGUUUCUAGUCCAUAGAGUACUUCUCUUGACUGCAGUCUGUAAAAUCUACGAUGAAGAAUGGGAAGAAUAGGCCUGUUAUCCUGAAUUGAUACCAAAAACGGGCAAAAGGAGAGAACUGCAUAUCUAUUCAAGGCAAUUAUCAUCCAUUAUGAAGACAUGGCUGUUCUGCAUUCUUCACACAGGCUAAAGAGCCACAUACACUUUUGAUGAAAAAAUAGAACACGUGUGCAGAACAAUAGGUUUCUAGAGGAUAUAUUCCAUAGUUGUAUUUCUUUGCUGUUGUCCAGGACUCCAAAGCACAUUCUCCACACCAAGGACCUAAAUCCAAAGGUUUUGCAUUUUUUUCUUCAAAAGUUGGGCAGAAAUUAUCUUAAAAAAAGAGAUGUGUGUACCAUAAUGUCAAAAAUCCUAUUACAUGAAUAAAUUUUGAUUUGCAUUUAAAUGUGUUCAUAUGAAUCCAUUAACUCAUCUUACAAUGACAACAAAAGAUCUUUUUUCCUGUUUAUUUUAGGUGGAUAAUAACUUGGGCUUUUAUUUGGCAUCACGUCUUAAGACAUGUUUGCUCAUCUGACUAUUUUCAUGCAUAUAUGUUUUAAUGCAUGAUGUAAAGUAUUUAUCAUAGGCAUGUAGACCCCAUUUCAGAGUCAUAGCUUAGAAUCCAAGUUUUAGAAGUAAAUGUUUACUGUUUUAUUAACUUACUAUGAGCUCAGUCUGAACUCUCCUAAUGUAGUCUCACCUGACUAAAUACUGGAUUUAUAACACUGAGCAAAAGAAUAGAGAUCUGUUUCUGUUGAAGGCAAUUAGGACCUAUGAGGAAAAUAAUGGCUGUUCUGUGUUCUUCACAUUGGGGAAAAAAAAAUAAAAAAAGAGCCACAUACAAUUUUGGUGAAAAAACCAGAGCACAAAUGCACAAACAGUAGAUUUCCAGAAGAGGUAUUUGUUUGCCUUUGUCCAGGAUUCUGAUAGAUAUACAAAAGAAAAGCCUAUUCUGUCCCUCCAACCUUUAAGGCAAGAUUCAGCUACUCUUCCCAGCACACUUUUUUCCCAGCUCUGCCUUUAUAUCUGGGGAGGGAAGACACAAGAACAUACAGUCCUAUAAUUGUAAUUUGUCUUGAAAAUAUUCCAGCUUGGUAGUUGGUGAAUAUUCUUUAUGUGUAUUAGAUUAGCUAUUUAAGAUAAUUUCUAUAUAAGUAAAGUACCUUCACAAGGAUAGUUGCAAUAGUAGAAGUCAGCAUGAUCACUGGUGUGAUCACUUUGUAAUAGUAAUCUGUUGCUAAAAUGAAUGUCUUUCCUGCUCCUUCCCUUGGCAUUUGUUGCCUUUAAAUCUCCUGCAAUGUUUGCAAUUUGGAGGAAUCUUCUCUUCCUGUGAUAUUAAAAAACCUACAGUCUCUGACAACAUUUUAUUAGAGAAGGAAAGGUGCUUGCCCUAUAAGAAAGACUGCUUUAAAGCACAAUGCUUAGUACUUUUUCUUUAGAAAUGCAGUAUUUUAGCAUAUUUUUCUCGUAACACCUAAACUGUUACUAUCUGAUAGCACAAUAACUUGGUUAUUGAAAUCACCUUGUUAUGUUCAGAAUUUGACCAGAAAUAUUGUAGUCAAAUGAAGCAAUGUAUUAUUCAUGCUUAGUUAGGUCAGCUGAACACAUUUCAGCCUCACCGUGUUUGCAAUCAUCUUGACUAGUGUCAUAAUAUUUUCCAUCACCUCUCCCGCGGCACAUUUAUCACCUUUUUUUUCCCCCUUUUUAGAAAAAGAAAUUCUCAAUUAUAGCUGUAAAAAAAACAGGCAACUGAAACCCACCCAUUUCCUAAAGCUCUAUUAUCCCUGAGGCAUCUGAAACAAAAACAUAUCAAUACCAAUUACUUAGCAGAAAGCAAUCAAGAAAACCUUCUCACUUUCAAAUCUCUCUUCUCCCUGUACUCCUAUAACCAAUGUGCCUCUAAAAGAAAAGCCUGAGCUGUCUGAAAGCACACAGGGAGACAUGGUGAUAGCGAAAGCAAGCCUCCUUUAUGACCUUGACCCCAUGAGUCUUUUGUGGUAUCUUCUUCUCACAGCCCUCUCCUGGUUCACCUGUGAUAAGUGUAAUCUCUUCUCAGCAGCUCCCAGUGCUUCAACUCACUGAUUUCAACAAGCAAGCAAGCAACAGAAGAGGUGUUGUUCAUACAAAUCUAUCCUCUCCCUUCAUCAGGCCGAUGCCUGUACUGAAAUGAGCUAUCAUCAGUAAGUCAUAAGAACUGGCACCCAGCCUCACAGCAGUAUCCUCUGUGGGCUGGAGAGGAUGCUGCGGGCAGGCCUGUUGGGAGGCUCCAGCAAAGGCUGCAGGGUGCUGUGGGUGGCUCGGUGCUCUGCUGUGGCCAAGGCUUCUGUAAGGCUGGGCUAGAGCAGCCAGGGGCUUGGGACAGGAGUUAAAAGUGGCUCAUUAUAAGUGAAAUAACAAACUGAAACAAUCCUCUAUUUCCUUCUCUAUGUUCUCUGCGUUGAGCUAGGCAAUCACUCCUCAGUAUUUAGGUUUCAUUAGUAUAGAUAUAGAUACAGAUAUAGAUAUAGAUAUAGAUAUAGAUAUAGAUAUAUAUAGUAAGUGGUAAACGUACUCUGGAAGGUUUGGGGUUUUUUUUCCCUUUUUCUGAACUAAUUAAUACAUGUACGGUGUCUGGCUAGUUUUCUUUUCCAGUUAAUUUUUAAAAGGAUUAUGGAUUCCAUAAUUUUUCUCAGUCUCCCUCUCAUGCUCUGUUAGAUCUUUCUGCACUCAUUUGGGAUUUUCCAGUCCCUGGGAGUCAUGGGGUUCAUACCAGCAGAGUAGAACAUAGCAAGGCUUAGAAAAAGGCACGGCUUCAUAACACAAAAUGCUGAAUGUGUGAAUUAUGUGAAUGCUUGAUUUUGCAUAAGCCAGGUUCACUGCAAUCACUGGUCAUACUCUUGAUGUUUCUUUUGAAAUGGUAGAUGAUCAAAAUUAUCAAAAAUGGUGAUCAAUGUAGUAUUUAAUUUAAAAAAAUGAAUAAAAUAUUUGUUUACAAAAACACAACCCCAAAACCUGAAUCCCCAAGGGUGGAGUAGGAGAAAGGUAAAGUUUACUACCUGCUCUUUGUUUCAUCAGGUGUACUGAUGAUCAGAAAACCAAUAAUGUUGGUGAGCUUUCCCCUCAAUGCCAUGGGAUUAUGCAGUGAUGUGGGUCUCUUGGCAAGAGUGCUUUUGGAGCUGAUGGUGUCUCUUACCAGGGUAACAUCACAGGAAACUACUGGUGCCUGUUGCCUUUUGUCUGGCUGCUGUGCAUUCUUGUGAAGAGGGUACCUCCACACUCCCUGCAGCCAAUGGUGCUGCCAACUGUUUCCAGCUGAGGCACUCCUUGCUGGCCUUGCACGCUUCAGGUUUGAGCUUGCUGGGAAAAACUUCCUGCUAUUCCCAAGCCUAUUUAUCUUACUGAGUUUUUUUUAAACUAAAAUCAGGAUCAAAGUAAUUUAUACAAUCAAUUCCUACAUGAGAGAUCUUAUAUGUGAUGGACCUUUAUGAAAAUUCUCUAAUAUUAACGCUUAUGGUAAUUAAUAACUAAGCAGACUUUCAGAAGGAUAAAGAUACAAAUUUAAUUUAAAGAUUCCUUUAAGUUUGUGUUAAGCUAAGAAAUCUCAAAAGAUUUUUAUCAUAUGAAUACAAGCUUUUAAUUCUGCUAAUGCAAAAUGGGACUUUAAUACUCCAAGGUAUUUAUUUUCAACUCCCCCCCCCAAAAAAAAACAACCUCAAAAUCAGGCAAUUCAAAUUAAAAUUCAGUUCUGGUUAUAUGCUUGUUUAGCUUGCCUUUUGGUCCUUUUUUUUUUUUUUUUUUUUUUUUUUAAACUGGGAUGUGACUGCAAAAACUCUUGCGCAAAUGCUGUGAUUACAAUGCCAAAUAAUUAAAUAAUUUUACAUUUCUUUAAUGUGGACCUACCUAAGGUAAGUAUUUCUGGAAAUAUUCUCGUAUAAGGCAGUGUCCAUACUAGGUUGUUCAGCCAAAUAUAACACAAACAGUUUUAGCUAGUUAGAAUUUUCUCAAAAAUUCAAGUUUACAGGCAAUGUGUCUUUAGAAAAGAUCUAAUUUUGUAAAACUUUUAAUUUCCUAAUUUUCAGAUGUAAUAUUUAAGAUGUUGUCUUGGGGUGACAUAUGCACAGAUGUGCACGCAGUAUGUAAAAUUGCACAGAAUGAACCAUAUUGUUAUUAAAUAUUAUGAUUACAAAUAUAACACUCAAAACUUGGACUGUGCCAAGAAUGAG